rnacentral:rRNA from 1 species
ACAAGCGGUGGAGUAUGUGGUUUAAUUCGAUGCAACGCGAAGAAUCUUACCUGGUCUUGACAUCCCGGAGACCCUUAGGAAACUAGGGGGUGCUUCCAUCUGGAAGAAUCUGGAGACAGGUGCUGCAUGGCUGUCGUCAGCUCGUGUCGUGAGAUGUUGGGUUAAGUCCCGCAACGAGCGCAACCCUUGCCUUUAGUUGCCAGCAGUUCGGCUGGGCACUCUAAAGGGACUGCCGGUGUUAAACCGGAGGAAGGUGGGGAUGACGUCAAGUCCUCAUGGCCUUUAUGACCAGGGCUACACACGUACUACAAUGGCCGAUACAAAGGGCAGCGACACUGCGAGGUGAAGCCAAUCCCGUAAAAUCGGUCUCAGUCCGGAUUGGAGUCUGCAACUCGACUCCAUGAAGUUGGAAUCGCUAGUAAUCGUGGAUCAGCAUGCCACGGUGAAUACGUUCCCGGGCCUU